UCUGGGACUGGGUGGGUGGGGAGACCUGUGAGUGGAGGAGCAGGAAGAGCAAGCAAAGGCUGUGUCCUGCAGAUCGGAAGGCGGGGAGAGAGAAACAAAGAGAGCCUGAGAUUGGGGCACGUAGUGGAGAAGCCCUCAGCCCACCAUACCAGGCUGAAGGACAGACACUCGGAUCCUUUACAGAGGGCUGGCUUGUUUUGGGUGGUCGUAUCCGGGAUUUAAUGGACUCAGUCCAACUCCAGAGGGCCAGGAUCCACUGCCUCCUGACUAAAGCCCAGGGGACAGGGGUGGGGUCGCUGAGUCAAUGGUGGUGACUCAUGAAUCCCUGAGGGUGAGAUCGUCUAGCGGUUCAGGAAAAACCGUUAGUUGAGAUUGACUCAAAACUCUGAGAGCGCCAAGCUCAUUGUCCCAAGUUUCAAACCACCUCUGAGCGUAACCGCUCUUUUGAUUGUUGUCGUGGAGACACCAGAAUGUGGUGAGCUCCCCUUAGGAAGAAACUUCUGAGAGCCACCGAACUCAUCCCACCCCCUCCCAGAUCGCAAAUGCACUCAGCGAGGCUUUCCUUGCUAAGUUCCCUCCCGCGUUUCCCUCCCUUCUUUUCUUCCUCCAUAAAACCACACCCUAACUUCUGGGUGAAAGAGGAAACUACGUUGGUAGUUUCAAAAAAUAAGCUCAAUGAUCACGGUCUUUUCUGAAAGUAGAAUUCAUGAAAAGAUAACCCGAGCCAGACAAGAAUUCGUUAGGUAUCGUUAAAAAAGAAAGAAAUAAAAAGAAAGAAAGGAAGGAAGGAAGGAAGAAAGAAAAAAACAGAACAAAAAUCCCAUCCAAUUUGAUGAAUGAGUUCAAAUGAAAGACAGUUAUGUAACUCAAAUGAUGACUGAAAAAAGAGAUUUGUGUUGUUUUUAGGGCGAUGCAGAUGGAGAAGAUUCUAGAGACUGGUCUGGACAAUGUCACAGAUCCUUUUUCCCCCACAAGAAUUUGUAAAGUAUAACUUGAAAUGGAGAUGCAACUGUCCACAGAACAAAAGGUCCAGAUGCUGUUUAGGUCCAGCGAAGGUCACCUGUCAAAGGGAAACCAACUGUCCAGCUCAAGGCUACUGUUUCACUGUUAACAACUAGACAGGACCGAGGGGUCUUGGUUCUCCAGGGGAGAUGGAGCUUCCAGGAAAGGAAAGUCAGGCCCCUUGUGAUUAAGCAGAAGAAAAAAAAAAAUCAAUCUAUCCCAGUUGCUUUGGGGAGUACUCUGAGUGGGUAUUUAUGGAGUACUGAAAGAAUUAAUUACAAGAGAGCUGGGAAAAGGGUCCAGAUGAGGAAAAGGCUUGUGUUAUAUUUUUGCUUUUGUUUUUCUUUGGGGCAGAGAAUAGCCACAGCUUACCUGGCAAUUAAGAAAAAUGGCUUAGAGACGCUUGGAGUUAUGCUAGCUUCGUUGUAUAAGGUUCUUUGAAGCAAUAGUGUGUUUACCUCAUCUCAGUCAGUUCUGGGGAUUGUCACUGCCAGCAGGACCCUCUGGGGCCCGGUUCUCCCGCUGUGGCUUUCUUUUUUCUCUCUUUCAAUGAGAGGCUGUGAGUCCUUCCCAGAGGGCAUUCCUGGGGUUAGCCUGUGCCUCACGUUACCAUCCUGUGCACUGAGAGCCUUUUAUUCAAGCCACUGUUCAGCAAAUGUCACCAUUGUGAGUUUGCUUGGAAUGGCUCAGGAUGAGAAAAGUGAUUUCCCUGUGGGGCGGAGGGAGCACAGCCCGUCCUUCUACAUGGCAUGUUGACUCCCGGGCAGUGCAGUGGCUUUGUCAGUGGACUCUAGCAGAAUGAGUCACUGUGGAAAAUGAGGACUGGAUUCUGGUGUGGCGUGGCAGUGUGCCAUGUGGGCACCCACAGCAAAUUCCUCAGGUUGUGUGUGAUGACUUCUUUAGUAGGCCCUGGUCUCCUCCAUCAUCUGAAGGGUCUCCUUUCUCUCUGGCCAGAUCCCCUUCUGUAGUCUCAGGAAGGUCUAUGAAUAUUCUCCUUCGACUGUUGAUAUGUCUGCUGAUAUCUCUAAAAUGGACAGAACUCUGUGUUUAUUUACGAGCAUGCACUGUUCAAUUUAUUCUUCAUUUUAGAAGUUUUUAGAAGGUAGAGAAGGGAAUUGAAAACUACUACAAUUCAUUCAUGGAGAAGUCAUGAGUCUUGGGAAAGAAUUUGUUUCACUAUACACUCAUACACACACACAAACACACAGAGACACACACACAGACACCCACACACGGGGAGGGGUCUCACACAGCACUCUACCCAGGAGGUGACAUUGGCAGCAGGUAGAAACCAGUAUGUUGGAAUAAAUGACCUCACCAUCACUCACUGUGUACUAACUUUUGAAAGUAAACAGUCUAUGAUAGCUUCCUCAGUUUUCAUAUUUAUUUUUAAUUGCUAUGAAAGCCUACCUCAAGUAUUUUUAAAUGCUUGACUUAUGUGUGAUUCAAGUUUGCAUAUAAAUAAGUGAACGGUCAUGUGAGCUGCAGGCAGGCAAACCCGAUCACAUGUGAAGUACAAACAGUGAUUUGGGAAUUUGCAAGCUUUGGCCAUGUCAGUUGAACGGGGUGACUUGAGUUGACAGACCAGCCAGCCGUGCGCACAGGAGCUUAGUGGCCUAUGGAGGCUUUGGGAAAGCUGCCGACAGGAGGUCAUAUCAAGAGGAGCGCAGCUGGCAGAACCUGUGGGUGAACACUGGGAAUGAGAGGGCAGGUAGAAUGAGGCAUAGUGAUGCAAGCCUGUAAUCCUACCACCUGAAUGGUGGAGACAGGAAGAGGAGGAGUUUAAGUCUUUUUUUUUCCUGCAUAACUCUUUCAAGGACAGCCUAGGAUGCCAUGACACCCGCUUCUCCAUCUAAACAAACAAAAUACCCACAGAGGUAUAAAAAUCAUAUGGCAUCCUAUAAACAUGCACAGCUUUUAUGAAUCAAAAUUAAAAUCAAAGAGGCUAAAAACAAGACAAAACCUAAGUCCCGAUGAAGAAAAUAAGUAAUACAAGUGUUUUUAUUUUUAUGCUUACUGGAUGGGGGAUAUUGUAUGCACACUGAGUUUAACUUAAUGCUGCUAGAGCAUCCAUCAAGUUAUACUUGACCCUUCUUUCAAUGACUUUUCUGUUUGAUUUCAUAGUGAUAGUUAUCAUACCAUCAACAAAUUCAAUUCAUGAAUAACAUUCAGGCAUUUGUUGCGUCCUAGAAAUUAAAUGGCAGAGUAAUUACUUACUAUCUUGCUGGGUGCCAGACUCCUAGAGGGAUUUGGCACGGGCACACAACAGGUCCUUUGUCUCUGAACACCGUCGAUAACGAUUGGGAUUUGUUUGCGCCUUAGUUCUAAAUGCAAACUUUGCUUAGAAGUUAAACAUUUUCACCUACAUGCUGCCCUGCUCCUUCGGUAGUCUGCUAAGCAACAUUAGACACACACAGCUCAUAUCACACCCUAAAAACCACCAUCCACAGCAGCUUCCCCAACCCAACUUCACUCUGUGGAGCACUUUAGUGAGGAAACAGGACUGGAGACUUUGCCGUCACCAUUUCCUCAUUCUGUACCUCUUAGGUCCAAUGGGGAAGGUGUCCCACUGAUACCUGCAGCCACAUGUCUCUUAUGCUGCUGUCACCCAAGUUCAGGUGUUUGAGUCCUUUUGUCCCUCCUUCCUGUGAUACUACAGCUGGCUUCUGCUCAUCCAGAUAUUCAGUUUCUACCAGUGCAUCUGUCUUAGGUCUCAACCCCUUUUCUUAAAGAUUUUGUUUCUACAAUUCCAAGACCGUCUAAAGAGGAUUACUCAUCCCUUUGCUAGGAUAUGGGCACUAUGAGGUGAAAGUCCACGUUCACUCUUUCCCACUGCUUUAUUUUUUGUGUUUUUUGUUUGUUUUGUUUUUGUUUUUGGAGACGGGGUUUCUCUCUGCAGCAGUCCUACCUGUCCUGGAGCUAGCUUUGUAGACCAGGCUGGCCUCGAACUCAUAGAGAUCCACCUGCCUCUGCCUCCUGAGUGCUGGGAUUAAGGGUGUGCACCACCACUGCCUGACUCACUAAUCUUUUUUCAGUGGCUGGAGGAGAACAUUUGUUGAGUCUGUGAAUAAAAGGAAUAAAGGGGGUGAGACUAGCAUUCAGUGGAAUAAAGAGACUAGCAUUGAGACUAGCAUUCAGUGGCUUGUGCUAUGCUCCUUCAGAAUGCUCAUCCCUUUAGAUGGGAUGGAACUCAAACUUUAUGGGAAGUUGUGAACUAUAUAUUUUAUUCAUUUAUUCAAGAUAUACUUAUCGAACAUUUAACCAUUGCUAGACACCUUGCCACAAACUGGAGAAGAAAUGUGUAGUCCAUAUCUUCUUGCAGUAUUAUAUGGAGUCUGUGUGAGUAUGUGCAUGUCCAACAGAGACAAUACUCAAAGGGGAAAAAAUCUUAAAAAGCUGUAAUAAAGGCCAUGAUGCCCACAAAUUAAAAAAUGAUUCGUAUUUGCUUUCUCCACUGUAUCCGAUGCUUCAUAGUAGAGUGAGGUAAGUUGAAAACUUUUCCUGCCCAUAGGGAGGAGUUAAGAAGCCAGAAAAAAGAAACAGGUGGCUCAUGCCUAUCAUCCCAGCACUUGGAAAGUGGGGGCAUUAGGCUACAUACCUAGUUCAAGGACAACCUAAGCACAUGAGAGCCUGUCUCAUAGAUUAUGACAAAUAGUGAAUGAGAAUCAUGAUGGAUAUAUGAAUGAAAUGCUGAAGGGCUUAUAAGAAGAAAUUAUAUCCAUUUGAGGGAGACCCAAAAUGUAUGUACUAAGAUAUUUUUGAAGAAUGAUGUGGUUUCCACAGUAGGUCACAGUGGAGAAAGUAUUUCCCAAGCUGGCCAAUCAGCAUAGGCAAAAUCUGGGUCUUCUGAGGAAUACCAAGAAGCUCAGAGUUGCUGGAUUGCGAGGCAGAGGUAGAGGGAAGGGAACUGGAAGCUAGCACGGGGCCAUGCGUUGGAAGACCAAAUGCCAGGGAGAGGAGUUGGUAAUUGAUGCAGUGGGCAGUGGAAUUCUCUGCGGUUUCUGAGGAGAAAGACAUGCUUGUUGCUGCAUCUUAGGGGGUUGCUGUGGCAUGCUGUUGAGGAUGAAUUGGGCAGACUACUUGAGAGCUGUUUGUAAUAGACUAAAGAAACCGAAGUGAAGGCGAGUCUUAGAGACUAGAUAGAGGCAGAGAAAGAGAGAAGCAAACGCAUCUCUGGGCUUCCUGGACAGGGUAAUCAAGAGAAUGAGUAUAUUCUAGGCAGAACAAUUUAGGCAGGAAAUUAAUCUGAGGGAAAUGAUUAUUCAUUAAGGUCUGUCAUCAAGAAGAGCAUUUGCUACUCUAGUCAAUGUAGAUUAAAAUCUUGUAAAGGUGAAGCAGAGCUAUUUUAACUCAAUGUUAUUUCUUACCCACUCACAGGAAUAGUUCAGGUUAGUUGUCUUUUACUUCCCCUGGUCUGCUUUCAGUGUGUUUGGUUUCCAUAGCUACAAUGAUGAAAUCAUGAGUGUCUUUGGUAUCUCCACACUUCUUAGAAGACGAGGGGACAAAGAAACUUCAGCAUCCUCCUCUAGAGAUGUCUUUCAACUUUGGGAAGGAAAAGCAGAUAGCUAUCCACAGAAUUAUCCAGAAAGUCUAACUUCUUAAUCAUCUUGUUACAAUCUACAGAAGAGGAAAGAAGGUGGAACAUAGGUAGAAGGAAUGAAACUGUUAGUUGAUGUGCAGAAGGGAAACCUAAUGUAGAAACCAAAACAGUCCCAGCAAAUGUUACAUGGGGAAGCGCAGCUAGAUUCUGUGAAUUUGUCCACUUAUUGAAGGGGAUAAAAGAAGAGAUGGAAAAGAAAGAAGAUUGGGGAUCAAAAAUCUCUGCCAUCCCAAUUAUAAAAUCAAGAUGGCAUUUUAAAGAGCCCUAAAUGAAAUUGUUGUAGUAUAGCUACUUAUCGAGAUUAUUUUAACAAAACUGUUACAUAUUUGUUCAAUGGUUUAUAAUGUGGUUUCCAUUACUUUUCAAAGAUUAGGGAAGGACUGGAAGUUAGUAUCUCCAAGGUCAAGUGGCCUUGACUGCAAGGCAGGGCAGGUACAGGCUUCAUUUCCCCCCACCAAGAAGCUGCCCCCCGAGGAGAUGACAGGCAGCCUAGAGACCUGGUUCGCUUGCUUCUCCUGCAAUCACAAGAAGUCUUGUGAUGUAAAAGUGGAUUGUGCUCGCCACACUGGGGCCAUCUUCUCUACGGAUUCCUCGAGGAGUCCAGACACCCAUCAUGUGUCUGUCAGAACCAGCAAUUGGACAGAUGCCUGCGAGACAGCCAAUCAGUACAGUAGCAAUAUCAAGGCCCUGUCCCUCAGCAGUCCCUCACCUGAGUACCAGUUCAGAGACAUUCCAGGGCUUCAGGAUGUAGGUCUUAUGCUGUGACAGCCCUCCCUCUGAGGGUACGGAAUAGAAGUGAAUGGGUCCAGGCUGCGGUAGUCUUCCCUGUGUGCUCAUGGAGUAGGUGUGUGUGUGUGUGUGUGUGUGUGUGUGUGUGUGUGUGUGUGUGUAAACACAAAUAUGGCUGCAAUGGUGACCCUGGUUGCUCAUAGAUGGGAUAGAAGUGAGGAGAGCCAUGCUGCCCGGAGUAGCCUCAAACUUCAGGACCUUAUGCCUUAAAUGACUCUUCAGGUUGCUCCCUUCUUCUGCCCCCAGCCCUGCCCCCAAGAUUUAGGUUCCUGGUUCUUCUGGUGACAGUUUCUGACAUCCCUGGCAAGGAAUAGCUGUGGGACCUGCAGCGGCCUCACCAGCACCUUGACUUUAGGGAACUCGAUUUCCUCUUCUCCAAACCUUCUUGUACUUGUGAUUUGGGAGGCAAGGCUACUGAUUGCCCUGGUCACUUGGUUGGGCUUUGUGGAGGAGUCCGUUUUCAUCUUCAUUUCCUUUUGUAGAAAAGAUAGGGGCUGGAUUGGGAACAAUUGUCACUCACAAGUCUGUAAAUAAAGCAGUUAGUAUGGGGGGAAAAGGCUGUAUGGGGGUGGUCAUGCUAAUCUUAGAAAUUUUGCCAAUUACCUUGGUAUCCUGGGAAAUUGCUAAUUUGUGGAGAUCAUGUAGUUCCCAAGUGGUGGGAGGUUACUGUUAUUAUUAUUGUUGUUCCUGGAAAUGUAAGAAAUCAGGUAAUAAUAAAGUGAAAUUGUUUUGUAGCACAGUUUCUUGUAUGGAGCUGAAAGUAUUUUUGUUACUCUUCCUUACUUUUGAUGGUUCCAUACGGACAUGCCCUGUUUUGUGUUUAUAUUAAAACCCUCAUUACCCUCUGCUACAACCCCCCUUUUCCCUCUGAACCCCUUCUAAUUCUAACCCCAGUGACUACAACAUGAAAAAAAAAUCAUACCCUCCCCUUUAGUGACAACUAGCAGUCCCCUGUUCUUUAGGAAGAAAUGGGCCCUCAUGGGCACCUCCUCUAUCCACGAUGAAAUGGUGAAGGGACUGAGCUUACGCAGGUAACCAUGGCUGCCUAGUGUUCAUGGCUGCAAUAGCCACGUCAUGUGUGAGCGAUAGCAUCUCAUGGCGUUCUUCUCUGUCUCCCUCUGUUAAUUCUUUCUACUUCCUCUUCUGUGAUGCUCCCCGAGCUUUAGAGGACACAGAUGAUAUCAAUGUCCCAUUUGGGGCUACGCCUCGACAGCUAUUGAAUUUCAGCGCCUUGUAUGUGAGUUCUGCAUUAACUGUCAUUCUUUGCAAAAGGGACUUUUUCUGCUCUAGAUUCAGAGGAACACUAGCCUAUGGUUAUAAAUAAAAAUAUUUAGAAGACAACUUGUCAAUAUAUCCUCUUAGGGAUACAACAGUAGUACGCCCACCUCCUUCAGCCUAUGAGAUCUCAGCCUUUCCGCCAGGCUUAUAAUACCAGGUGUGUCCUCCCUUCCUAUGGAGCAGGCGUCACAGAAGUGUCAGUUGCCCAAGGAUCAGCAGUGCCGCCAUCGCACCAGUCCUCACGCCUUGCUUGCUGUGUCAGUGUCGCAGUGCGCAUGCACCAUAGCGUGGUGCUACUGUUGAGGAGCCUCCUCCCCCAAAGGCCUUUACAGCACCUAUGCAGCAGGAGGAACGCUCUUCAGUGGGAAGCAAUGGUUCUGGAGUCUUUUUGGCAUUUUUUGCAUAGUGUCUAUCUCUUUGCAUCCCCCCCGCCCUGCUCUGAUGAAGCAACAGGACUCAUUUUAAUUCAGAGAAUGCUGUGGCUUUAGAGAGUCAUCCCAGAAUUACGGACAUCUUAGGGGUUUUCUGUGUACAUUUCAUUUUUCUACUUUUGACUCAACCUGUUAGAAUGAAUUGAUAGUGAUGUCACUUGAUUCCUGCAUACAAUUAAAUGAAUAAAAACGUUAGCCCAUGUUUGCUAAUAGAAAUGAAAUAAAUGGAACAGAGUUUGCGUGUGUAUUGCGUCCACAAGCGAGAACACUCCUGCUGUUUACCCACUCUGUAUUAGUAUGAAUGGAGGGGAAAAGUUUUUUUUUCUUUUAACAUUUUAGUCCUUUGGGCUAUUAAUAUUGCACAAGCUAAGAAUAAUGCAAGAGUUGCACGAAAUGAGAGGAAGUUCAAGACGUCCAAGGACAGUCAGGAGUUUUCAAGGCCAAACCAAAGCGUUACUGAUAAAGCACCACGUAGGCUUGUUCUCCAGUUUUAAAUUUGUUCUCAACCAUCCUUCUGCUUUUACAUACCAGAUUUUCCCUAAAGAAUGCUUAUAAACAUUUGCUUUAUUUAAAAAAUAGAGCAUGCUUAAAGUUUUGGGCGUGUGGGAGGGACGGAAGCAGCAGGACACAGGUGUAAAUAACGGGGAAAGCACACAUGCACAUAAUAAAACACCGGUGAAAUCCCAAAGCAAUAGUGGCGCCAUUACUAACAGAUUGCGUUGUUCUGAGAGAACCAGAAACCGUACCCUGCCGAUGUGUUUUGAGUACUUACAUGUUCCAGGCUCCCUGAUGGCUGCUAAAGACAGAAAAACGUUCUUAGAUACUGUGUCUUCUACGUCCCCCAUUUCUAUGAAAUAAUUGGUCUCUAAGGCUUGCAUAAUGAUGUGGUCACAUUGAGAUCCAAGUGAAUUUCCUCAUAAAGUCAGAAGACCCUGGGGAAACAACAUUGACUUUUCCUCCCCAAAUCCAUGGAAAUGUAAACUUUACUGUUUUUGUUCUCCCUUGCAAAUAACUGUGUGAGUCUUAGUUGCUGGGUUACUCUCUCAAACACAGGCUCCAAACUGCAGCCAGGGAAGUGCAGUUAGCAAUCAAGCGAAGGAAAUGACUAGUGGGUUUGAAACCCAACAUACUGUCCCGUUCUUCACGUAGCGAAGCAUCUCUGUUACCCAGACAACUUUUGUCACUAAGGAAGUACUUGUGACUCAUCCUCACACAGAGUGACUUAUUUAAAAAUCUGAGUAUUCACUAACCUUACCAUUAUGACUCGCUUUUCUUUUCUUUGGACUAAGGCAGAAAAAAAAUACAUCUGGAUGGCUUAUUACUCACUGGCUGAUCUACAUGUUACAAUGCAAUAAGCUCACGGUGAUCGGAAUAAAAGAUAGACGCUUACAAUGGGAAGCCAAGUCAUGUGGUUGAUACACACCCGAGUCUUGCCAUCUGAAGCGUUUUCUGGAGGGAAGCUAUGAAAAGAACCUUUGGGAGGAGGUGACAAUCUAUCAACAAGGCAACUGGACACUGGAAAUGAGAUGAAAUGUUUGGCUUAAAAAUUUGCUUUUGAAUUCCUUUUUUUCUGUAGUUUUUGAGCCCUGUUUUUAAAAAAUGUUUAGUUUCCUUUCUGUUGAGUAAAAAUACUGACAAGAUGUAACUUAGGGGAGGAGAGGAUACAAUGUGCUUAGAGUUCUGGGUCAUAGUCAAUCAUUGAAGAAAAUCAGGGGAGAAACUUUAUUAGAAGCUGGAAGUGGAAACUACUGGAGAAGACUUCUUGCUGGCUUGUUCCCAGGCUCAUGCUUGUCUAGCGUUUUUAUACAGCGGAGGGUCACCUGCCCAGGGAAUGGAGCUGUCUACGGUGGACUGGGUCUUCCUACAUCAAAUAAUAACCCAAACAAUCUUCCGCAGAUCGGCCACACAGGCCAAUCUGCUCUGGGCAAUCCCUCAGCUGAGCCUCCUCAAGUGACUCUAGACUUUGUCUAGUGAUAUUUAAUUGUUCAUUUGGCAGUCAGUAUCCAACUAUUAAUUAAUUAAUGGUUUGACUAUGAAAUGUCAUUUAGGUUUACGGUUUCAGGAAAAGAGUGGUUGGAGCUAUUGUUUUGACCCUGAGGUGCGGGAGAACAUCUUGGAAGUGGGGAAGAUGAAGCAACUGUUCACUUUAUGGUGUCCAGGAAGCAGAGUAAAGAUGAUAGCAAGGGGCCAGGAACAAGAUGUGCAUGUCAAAGACCAAUUUCCUCCCACUUAGUCUUCACAACCAAGUGGUCCAUUUAUCUAUGAACAGUCCAUUGACAAAGUUAGUAUCCUCAUGUUCCCAUUGCUUCUCAAUAGUACCAACACCAACAGCAAGCAAGCUUUCUACACACAACACUUGGGGCCAUUUUUAUCUCCAAACAAUAACGUUAGGCUAAAUAUUUUUAAUCCUCAUUUAAUCUUUAAAACCACGUGUUCCCUUAUUGCUACAUUUAUUAAUGUUCACUUAGUUUCAAAGUGGUUAAAUGGCUUUCCUCAAACCACACUGGAAGGAAAUGCGGGGUUGUCAUUCUCAUUUAUAUUCUAGCUCUUGAGAUUGCGCUCAUAUCCACAACACAGCUCAUUAUAGGAUCAUUUCUUCAACGUCAGUACAGAGGCGUACUCUAAAGGGAACUUCCGAACCUUUCUUCUGCAUGUAAUUUCCUCCCCCGAGGACAUUUAUUGUUAAUUUAUUCUAAAUGACGACUUUCUAUUUCCUCUUCAAAUGAACCAUUCCUUUUCUGUGUAGACCAGAAUGCUACUUGCUCUUUUCUGAAGCUGACAUGGGCCGGGCAUGGGUUCCUGAGAUGUGAGCCUGUAUAGGAAUCCAAGUCAUAUUUCAGUUGCAAAUAAAGAGUCAAAGAUGAUUGACAAAACUAUGUGAAGCCUAUGGAAGACCUUGGUGAGUUUUAAUGGAUAUCAGUGAUGCGCAGGAGAGAAAGAAGGAUUCCAAGAUGUGCAGCGAACCCCUUAAUGAUUGAGAAUGUGCUGUUAUUAUUUUAAUACACUCCUUGGUAUUAUAUUGUAUCUUUAUUUAUUU